rnacentral:rRNA from 1 species
CUGGCUCAGGAUGAACGCUAGCGGCAGGCUAACACAUGCAAGUCGAGGGGCAGCGGGUGUAGCAAUACAUGCCGGCGACCGGCGCAAGGGUGCGUAACGCGUGAGCGACAUGCCCGUGACCUGGGGAUAACCGAUGGAAACGUCGCCUAACCCCCAAUACGAUACACAUUCGCAUGGACGUGUAUUGAAAACCUUGGUGGUCACGGAUUGGCUCGCGUCCCAUUAGGUAGACGGCGGGGUAACGGCCCACCGUGCCGACGAUGGGUAGGGGUUCUGAGAGGAAGGUCCCCCCACAAUGGAACUGAGACACGGUCCAUACUCCUACGGGAGGCAGCAGUGAGGAAUAUUGGUCAAUGGGCGGAAGCCUGAACCAGCCAUGCCGCGUGCGGGAUGAACCGGCCCUACGGGUUGUAAACCGCUUUUGUGUGUGAGCAAUAAGGGCGUUUAGUACGUCCGAUGAGAGUAGCAUACGAAUAAGCAUCGGCUAACUCCGUGCCAGCAGCAGC